rnacentral:rRNA from 1 species
UUUGGACAAUGGGGUCACCCGAUUCCAGCAAUGCUGCUGAAUGAAGAAGCCUUCGGGUUGUAACGUCUUUGUCAGGGACGAUCCGUGAGGUAUAUCAGCUUACUAUGGCGGUACCUGAAGAUUACGCUCCGGCUAAUUACGUGCCAGCAGCCGCGUUAAUACGUAGGGUGCAAGCGUUAAUCUGAAUUACUGGGCGUAAAGCGUGCGCAUGCGGCUAAUUAAGUCAGAUGUGAAAUCCCCGUGCUCAACUUGCGAACUGCAUUUGAGACUGUAUGGCUAGAGUUUGUCGGAGGGGGGUAGAUUUCCACGUGUAGCAGUGAAAUGCGUAGAUAUGUGGAGGAAUACCGAUGGCGAGGCCAGCCCCCUGGGAUAACACUGACGUUCUUGCACGAAAGCGUGGGGAGCAACCAGGAUUAGAUACCCUGUUAGUCCACGCCUUAAACGAUGUUUACUAGUUGUUGGGUCUUAAUGGACUUAGUAACGCAGCUAACGCGUGAAGUAGACCGCCUGGGGAGUACGGUCGCAAGAUUAAAACUCAAAGGAAUUGACGGGGACCCGCACAAGCGGUGGAUGAUGUGGAUUAAUUCGAUGCAACGCGAAAAACCUUACCUACCCUUGACAUGUACAGAAUGCCGAAGAGAUUUGGCGGUCUCGCAAGAGAACUGUAACACAGGUGCUGCAUGGCUGUCGUCGGCUCGUGUCGUGAGAUGUUGGGUUAAGUCCCGCAACGAGCGCAACCCUUGUCAUUAGUUGCUACAUUAAGUUGAGCACUCUAAUGAGACUGCCGGUGACAAACCGGAGGAAGGUGGGGAUGACGUCAAGUCCUCAUGGCCCUUAUGGGUAGGGCUUCACACGUCAUACAAUGGUACAUACAGAGGGCCGCCAACCCGCGAGGGGGAGCUAAUCCCAGAAAGUGUAUCGUAGUCCGGAUUGUAGUCUGCAACUCGAGUACAUGAAGUCGGAAUCGCUAGUAAUCGCGGAUCAGCAUGUCGCGGUGAAUACGUUCCCGGCUCUAGUACACACCGCCAGUCACACCAUGGGAGCGGGUUUC